rnacentral:lncRNA from 1 species
GGAGAGUUGGGGGUCAUACUGCUCAUGUUUCCAGGAAAUGGUCUGCUCUGCAUCCCAGCUGAUGGCAUCCGUCCGAGGGGCAUGGUACCGCAGGGCUGGCUUGGCCCCUGUCCAUGCAUCUGGCUGUUGGCAUUUAUACCCAUGCCGGGUCCAGGGCCACUGUAGCUCGUGUUGGGCACGCCACUGUAUGUUGGUGGUCUGGAGUAGUUUCCUUGUGGUCCAUACUGGCUCAUCU